rnacentral:lncRNA from 1 species
GAUGAUUUGAGCAAAAGGUUUAUGAUAGAAUUUGAAAAGUAGAAGUAGAAAAAGAGAAAAACAAAGAUUUGACAGUGACAGGAAAGAGAGAAAAAAAGAAACGUCGGAUGGGGAAUUUUGGGAAAUUGAAUUAAAAUAAAAUAAAUAAAAAUUAAGAUAACUAACAACCCAAUUCCCCACUAACCUACUAACCUAUUAACCAACAUAAUCUCACCAAAUUUGACAUCUCCGUCCAUAUCCAACUACCUCAGCAUUUCAACUUCACCGAACCUUUAUCAGACAACCG